GGUGUAGGUGGCUUUAUAAGUCAGGUGUGAAAUCCCAGGGCUCAACCCUGGACGUGCACAUGAUACUGUAGAGCUUGAGUGUGGGAGAGGUUACUAGAAUUCCAGGUGUAGUGGUGAAAUACGUAGAUAUCUGGAGGAAUACCGGUGGCGAAGGCGGGUAACUGACCCAACACUGACACUGAUGCCCGAAAGCGUGGGGAUCAAACA
rnacentral:rRNA from 1 species